UAUUAUAAAGAAAUCAGGUAAAUAGAGGAAGUCCUGUGAGAUUCAGGCACUGUCGCGCAACGGUAAUGGAAGGAAAACUUCAUAAGUCCGGUCUAUUAUUUACUUUGAUAAGUACCUUCGCAGAAAGGGAAGAAAUA
rnacentral:sRNA from 2 species